AGGGAGCUUGACUGUGAGACCGACGGGUCGAGCAGGGACGAAAGUCGGGACUAGUGAUCCGGCGGUGGCUUGUGGAAGCGCCGUCGCUCAACGGAUAAAAGGUACCCCGGGGAUAACAGGCUGAUCUUCCCCAAGAGUCCAUAUCGACGGGAUGGUUUGGCACCUCGAUGUCGGCUCGUCGCAUCCUGGGGCUGGAGUCGGUCCCAAGGGUUGGGCUGUUCGCCCAUUAAAGCGGUACGCGAGCUGGGUUUAGAACGUCGUGAGACAGUUCGGUCCCUAUCCGCUGCGCGCGCAGGAACAUUGAGAAGGGCUGUCCCUAGUACGAGAGGACCGGGACGGACGAACCUCUGGUGUGCCAGUUGUUCUGCCAAGGGCAUGGCUGGUUGGCUACGUUCGGGAGGGAUAACCGCUGAAAGCAUCUAAGCGGGAAGCCUGCUUCGAGAUGAGUGUUCCCACCUCCUUGAGAGGGUAAGGCUCCCAGUAGACGACUGGGUUGAUAGGCCAGAUCUGGAAGCACCGUAAGGUGUGGAGGUGACUGGUACUAAUAGGCCGAGGGCUUGUCCUC
rnacentral:rRNA from 1 species